GUUUAAACAUUAAUACCACAGCUUAUCUGUUUCAUUCAGUCUAUUAUUUAUCCAGCCUUGACUAACCAUACCACUGCAUGCUUUUCACCCACAGCACUUAGUAUCCCACCCCGCGCAUAGAGUACUCUAUUGUUCUCUGUGGUCACUCACAGCUGACCACAGGUAUACCUUUGUUUGCUUGUUAUCUGAGGCAGUUGCCAGAUUACACUUGACAUAUGUACUCCAUAGUCAUUUUGUAUAUAUUUUGAAUGGAUCUUGUAUUCAUGGAUCGAAUAGAUGUGAUUAUUUCAUGGAUUUGAAGGUUAGUCAUAGUAUAUUUCUUGUGUGAUACCUUAUAUGUAUUUGUGUAUUUCUAAUUCUUAAAGUUAGAAAUAAGUUGUGCUUGGUUUAUUGCUAAUCAGGUUGUGUAUUGAAUCCACAGUUAGUGUAUUCUGAUCAUGAUUAUUUUAUAUGAUAAAGUAUUAUAAAGCAGUUUCUUUAAUUGAUAAAUAGCUAAUAUAUCCUAGGCUAUUAUCAUUUUAACUUGAACAUUAACUAAAUAAAACUAAACCCUAAAUAAACUGUAGUAAUUCUAUACCUCAUAUCACAUUAAGGUAAUUGUGUUAAUUGUGUAUAAGAAUGUAUGCGUAUGUGUGAAAGUGCAUUAUUUAAGUAAUUUGAUCAAUCCUUAUUUUAAAUACCUAUUUUACUUACGUGUUGUGUAUAAUUAAAGUGUAAAUAGUAUCUGCAUUAGUUUAUACCUUGUCAAUGCAGAUGUAACUGGCACUAUCUUAGAAGCUUUGGUGACACGGCACAGGUUUCACCAGUCUGGCCGUAUUUAUUCACCAUUCUCUUCUAAGAGAAUAAACAGCCAUCAGCUCACACCCUGUAGCCGUUUGUUGUGUUUACCACCCCGACAACUACCGCUACUACAUUGGAGCCCCCAGUGAGGAUUUGAUGGGACCAUGAGGAAACUGAUGUACACAUGAGACCAACCACGGCGUUAUGUGACGUCACACUUGAGGAUCGUUCCGCCAUUAUGACAUCAUGUGAUCUGCGAUGUGUGUUGACACAAGACCGGUAGAUAUGUGAUUACAUGUGACUUGAGUAUUGAUGAGACAUUGAACAUUAUUAUUGUUGUAAUCAUAUAUACUCUUACUCAACGUUGAGCAUUUCUGAAUUGAUCAUGAUCAUGACACUCUACGCUUGUGAUAAUUGUGACACUUUGUGUGUAUAUUAACCUGGAUCCAGCAGUGAAAGUAAUUGACAAUUUAUCAUCAUAAACUUUUUACACACAGCCGAGUUGAACUGACAACUGCGAGUGUGUGAAACUUCUGGAUAUUGCUUCACUUAUCUCUUGUGAAUACCAUGUCGUAUUUCUGUGUUCUUUUGUAUACCAUAGUGAUGGCAAUGCUAUGCUGUACUUGUCAUGUGACAUAUUUGACAUGUUGUCUUCCGGAAUGACUUCUCACUUACAUGUUUUGCCAUGCAAUGAAUUAUAUGUAUGAUUCAUGCUAUAUUUGUGUUGGAUGUGUAUGAUUAAAAUCUGUCCUAUAA